rnacentral:sRNA from 1 species
UCGUUCCUGCUAAGCCGGUUCCUGCCGU